CCUACGGGUGGCAGCAGUGAGGAAUAUUGGUCAAUGGACGAGAGUCUGAACCAGCCACGUAGCGUGAAGGAUGACUGCCCUAUGGGUUGUAAACUUCUUUUAUAUGGGAAUAAAACGUUCCACGUGUGGGAUUUUGUAUGUACCAUAUGUAUAAGGAUCGCCUAACUCCGUGCCAGCAGCCGCGGUAAUACGGAGGAUCCGAGCGUUAUCCGGAUUUGUUGGGUUUAAAGGGAGCGUAGGUGGAUUGUUAAGUCAGUUGUGAAAGUUUGCGGCUCAACCGUAGAAUUGCAGUUGAAACUGGCAGUCUAGAGUACAGUAGAGGUGGGCGGAAUUCGUGGUGUAGCGGUGAAAUGCUUAGAGAUCACGAAGAACUCCGAUUGCGAAGGCAGUUCACUGGACUGAAACUGACACUGAGGUUCGAAAGUGUGGGUAGCAAACAGGAUUAGAUACCCCAGUAGUC
rnacentral:rRNA from 1 species